GAGUAUGUAGCUCAAAGGUAGAGCAGCCGCCUUUUAAGCGGUUUUGUUGGGGUUCGAACCCCCACAUACUCA
rfam:Rhizophagus irregularis DAOM 181602 strain DAOM 197198 GLOINscaffold_606_Cont610 mitochondrial, whole genome shotgun sequence.